AUACAUUAUUUUUACUUGUGCGAUGUAUUCUAUCAUUUUUUUUCGUAACAGAGUUGUAAGUAUAUCGGUCUCGUGUAACGUGAAACUUUCGAUCAUUACUUUUGUCUUUUUCGAUCGAACGUGUAUCGUUAUUUAUUUAUUUUCGGCCUUAUAUUUAAUCUUUCGGACGUAUCACGCGAAUACGGUUAUAAAUCGUGCUUUGAUAUCAUCUCUAAAACAAGCAGACUUUGUCCAACAAAUAUCGAUCGUAUCUAUGUCACCGCAAACAGUUUCGAAAACAACAAAAAUUCAUAUUGUAUUUCGCGUCUCGUCUAUCAGCUGAUCGUCUAAAAUGUAUAAAGUCGCGUCGAACUUUGCUGUUCAUGUCAUCGACAUCCUGUGUAAUAUUCCCUAAUCUAUUCUUGCUGCGAUUCCGCCGUGACGUUAUGACGACAAGUCGUACACGAUUUCUGCCAUGUUCUGCCGUCAAUAGUUGUUUUGACAACUUAUGCUGAUAGGAGGUAAGCAAUUGCGGAAACAGUGGAUAGGAAUCUGCUGUAAACUCAUGAUUGGAUCUGGGCUAUAAUACUGUCGACAUAUUGCUGACAUUUGGCUAUCUGGUCUAAAAUUCCCGAGGUCAUGAACGAAAUUUUUAAACGAAAAAAGAUUCGAGGAAGAAGUAGACUCCAGAAUUGAGAUCAUUUGCUUUAACAUUGAAUUUUUAUUCCGCGAAAGCCUACAAUUAUGUGCGUAAAAAGUUCCGAAAUUUGCUUCCAAAUCCUUCAACGAUUCGUUAUUGGUAUAUUCUAUGUUAAACGGCCGACCAGGAUUUACAAGCGAAAUUAUAGAUGCGUUAAAAUGUAAAAUUCGUAAGACGAAAACUCUCUUUUAUUGUAAUUUAGCAUUAAAUGGCCACUGGAAAAUUC